CCUACGGGCGGCAGCAGUGGGGAAUAUUGGACAAUGGGGGGAUCCCUGAUCCAGCCAUGCCGCGUGUGUGAAGAAGGCCCUCGGGUUGUAAAGCACUUUCAGUGAGGAAGAACGCCUGGUGGUUAAUACCCAUCAGGAAAGACAUCACUCACAGAAGAAGCACCGGCUAACUCCGUGCCAGCAGCCGCGGUAAUACGGAGGGUGCGAGCGUUAAUCGGAAUUACUGGGCGUAAAGCGCGCGUAGGUGGCUUGAUAAGCCGGUUGUGAAAGCCCCGGGCUCAACCUGGGAACGGCAUCCGGAACUGUCAAGCUAGAGUGCAGGAGAGGAAGGUAGAAUUCCCGGUGUAGCGGUGAAAUGCGUAGAGAUCGGGAGGAAUACCAGUGGCGAAGGCGGCCUUCUGGACUGACACUGACACUGAGGUGCGAAAGCGUGGGUAGCAAACAGGAUUAGAUACCCUAGUAGUC
rnacentral:rRNA from 1 species